GAUUAGUCAGGCCUCAGAAAGAUGGCGUCCUCGGAGCAGGCAGAGCAGCCGAGCCAGCCAAGCUCUACUCCAGGAAGUGAAAAUGUGCUGCCUCGAGAGCCGCUGGAUGGUCUUGAUCUCCUGACCUGGUGAUCUGCUAUACCCAGCCUGGACACAGUAUUUUAAAAAUAUAGUUUGAAGGUACUGGAGAGCCACCAAAAGCAAGCAGAAAUUGGAGUGAAUUUGAUUCUUGAAAGAAAGACCCCACCCAGGGGAGCCACCUUUAUAAGGCUUUUUCCUUGAGGUAUUCCCCAAUCCAUCAGGUGCUAGCAAAUAGAACUCAAGCAGAAAGCUGUGUCAUAUUGGUUUGAGGAAUCAGGGGAUAUUUUGAGACUGUGUGUCGGGAAAUUGAAGAUGGCAAUCAUAGAAAGGAGAGAACCAUGCUGGGGAUCACCCCGAAGUACAUAUAAACACCCCUCACAUGCUAGACUAACUGCUGAACUGCCCAUGCACAGGGGAAGUGCCACAGAUUCCAGCAGAGAUUUCAGUAGCUGCCUGCUGUGGGAGAGAGAGAAUUUGGAGGUGGAGUCUUGUCAAGUUAGAGGCGAUUCGAUAAACACCUUGGACUUUGCUUUGAAAUCCCAGAAGGGCUACCCCUUAGGGGCAAAUACUACUCCCCAGGGCUAUGGCAUUUUCCCUAGGACUAAGGGCAAAACAAAAAUAAAGCAUAAAAUUGUGCC
rnacentral:lncRNA from 1 species